rnacentral:piRNA from 1 species
GCGGAGGUGAUUGUUUGAAAGGC